UACGUAGGGUCCGAGCGUUGUCCGGAAUUACUGGGCGUAAAGAGCUCGUAGGUGGUUUGUCGCGUUGUCCGUGAAAAACUCACAGCUCAACUGUGGGCGUGCGGGCGAUACGGGCAGACUGGAGUACUGCAGGGGAGACUGGAAUUCCUGGUGUAGCGGUGAAAUGCGCAGAUAUCAGGAGGAACACCGGUGGCGAAGGCGGGUCUCUGGGCCGAUACUGACGCUGAGGAGCGAAAGCGUGGGGAGCGAACAGG
rnacentral:rRNA from 1 species